AGGCCCAGAACUCACUCAGCUCUUCCCCAGGAGGACCAAGCCCUGAAUCAGAUGCAGCGCUGCCUGCCCCACUGGGCCAUGGGCCCCAGGCUCCUCUGCUGGGCGCUGCUUUGUCUCCUGGGAGCAGGCCCAGUGGACACUGGAGUCACCCAAAGUCCCACACACCUGAUCAAAACGAGAGGACAGCAAGUGACUCUGAGAUGCUCUCCUAUCUCUGGGCACACCAGUGUGUACUGGUACCAACAGGUCCUGGGUCAAGGCCUCCAGUUCCUCCUUUGGUAUAAUGUGGAAGCAGAGAGAGAAAGAGGAAACUUCCCUUGUAGAUUUUCAGGUCACCAAUUCCCUAACGAUCGCUCUGAGCUGAAUGUGAACACCUUGGAGCUGGAGGACUCGGCCCUGUAUCUCUGUGCCAGCAGCUUGGCACAGCCCAGCAGAAUCACUGACAUUCUUGACCAGCAGGGCCGCAGCAGAGGCUCAGAUGUCUUCAGGGGUCAUUACUAUGGCCUCUUCAUUCGCAACUUUGAGGAAUGUUAA